GAAAUGCGAUAAGUAGUGUGAAUUGCAGAAUUCAGUGAAUCAUCGAAUCUUUGAACGCACAUUGCGCCCCUUGGUAUUCCAUGGGGCAUGCCUGUUCGAGCGUCAUUUGUACCUUCAAGCUUUGCUUGGUGUUGGGUGUUUGUCUCGCCUCUGCGUGUAGACUCGCAUCAAAACAAUUGGCAGCCGGCGUAUUGAUUUCGGAGCGCAGUACAUCUCGCGCUUUGCACUCAUAACGACGACGUCCAAAAGUACAUUUUUACACUCUUGACCUCGGAUCAGGUAGGGAUACCCGCUGAACUUAAGC
rnacentral:misc_RNA from 1 species